rnacentral:misc_RNA from 1 species
AGCAGCCGCGGUAAUUCCAGCUCCAAUAGCGUAUAUUAAAGUUGUUGCAGUUAAAAGCUCGUAGUUGAAUUUCGGGGUCAGCAAGUUGGUCGUGCCACUGGUAUGUACUGGCUUUGCUGAUCCCUCCUUCUUGUAGAACCGUAAUGCCAUUUAGUUGGUGUUGCGGGGAAACNGGACUGUUACUUUGAAAAAUUAGAGUGUUUAAAGCAGGCUAACGCCUGAAUACAUUAGCAUGGAAUAAUGAAAUAGGACGAGCGAUCCUAUUUUGUUGGUUUCUAGGAUUGACGUAAUGAUUAAUAGGGAUAGUUGGGGGCAUUAGUAUUCAAUUGUCAGAGGUGAAAUUCUUGGAUUUAUUGAAGACUGACUACUGCGAAAGCAUUUGCCAAGGAUGUUU